CAACAGGGAUUGCCUUAGUAACGGCGAGUGAAGCGGCAACAGCUCAAAUUUGAAAGCUGGCCCUUUCAGGGUCCGCGUUGUAAUUUGUAGAGGAUGAUUCGGCGAGGGCUCCCGCCUAAGUCCCCUGGAACGGGGCGUCAUAGAGGGUGAGAAUCCCGUAUGCGGUGGGCUGCCUUAGCCAUGUGAAUCUCCUUCGACGAGUCGAGUUGUUUGGGAAUGCAGCUCUAAAUGGGAGGUAAAUUUCUUCUAAAGCUAAAUACCGGCCAGAGACCGAUAGCGCACAAGUAGAGUGAUCGAAAGAUGAAAAGCACUUUGGAAAGAGAGUUAAAAAGUACGUGAAAUUGUUGAAAGGGAAGCGCUUGCAACCAGACUUGUCCGCAGUUGCUCAGCCGGUCUCCUGACCGGCGUACUCUUCUGCGGCCAGGCCAGCAUCAGUUCGGGCGGUCGGAUAAAGACCUCGGGAAUGUAGCUCCUCUCGGGGAGUGUUAUAGCCCGGGGUGGAAUGCGGCCAGCCUGGACUGAGGAUCUCGCUUCGGCAAGGAUGCUGGCGUAAUGGUUGUAAGCGGCCCGUCUUGAAACACG
rnacentral:rRNA from 1 species